rnacentral:rRNA from 1 species
GAUGAACGCUAGCUACAGGCUUAACACAUGCAAGUCGAGGGGCAUCAUGUCGGUUGCUUGCAACCGAUGAUGGCGACCGGCGAAUGGGUGAGUAACGCGUAUCCAACCUGCCCCCGGCCGGGGUAUAACCCGUCGAAAGGCGGCCUAAUCCCCCAUGUAGUCCUCUGAGGUCCUCCGAUGAGGAUGAAAGGUAUUUUUCCGGCCGGUCGAUGGGGAUGCGUCCGAUUAGCUUGCUGGCGGGGUAACGGCCCACCAGGGCUUCGAUCGGUAGGGGUUCUGAGAGGAAGGUCCCCCACACUGGUACUGAGACACGGACCAGACUCCUACGGGAGGCAGCAGUGAGGAAUAUUGGUCAAUGGGCGGAAGCCUGAACCAGCCAAGUAGCGUGCAGGAUGACGGCCCUAUGGGUUGUAAACUGCUUUUGCGCGGGGAUAAAUUGGGGAACGUGUU